rnacentral:rRNA from 1 species
UAGUAAUCGCGAAUCAGAAUGUCGCGGUGAAUACGUUCCCGGGCCUUGUACACACCGCCCGUCACACCAUGAGAGCUGGUAACACCCGAAGUCCGUGAGGUAACCGUAAGGAGCCAGCGGCCGAAGGUGGGAUUAGUGAUUGGGGUGAAGUCGUAACAAGGUAGCCGUAGGAGAACCUGCGGCUGGAUCACCUCCUUUCUAAGGAGA